rnacentral:sRNA from 2 species
AUUCAGCCCCGAUGGGAGCAAGUAUCCUUUAGGGCUGGGGUUCAGCCCUAAAGAUACUGCGGACAGCGGGAGGGAAA